GCUGCAAGUUUGCUUGUCCCAGUAUGUCUUGCUUACCCAUUUAGUAUGUAUAUCGCUUCAUUCUAUUAAGAAAGGCAUUUUUGAUAGCGUCACAAUAAGUAGUCGUCUCGAGAAGAGCGGCAUCAAAAUAACCAUAGCGGUCCAUAGGCGGAAGCGGCCGAGCACCAUAGUAGGUUGAGCUGGAGGCGGUGCCUUGCGAACAGAAGGAGGCAUGGUAGUCGAGGGAGAUGGCACAUCAGAAGAAUCCACAACACGUGGACGACCAAUGUGGGAAAGAAGAGGACGAGGGGGUAUCACUGAAAAAGCCUCAGGGAACGUGUGAGGUGAGGUAGCUUCAGGUAGCGAAGUCGCAGGUGAUGACGACAUGGUCGACAACAGUAAUAUGGGAAGGCAUGGUGGGAUGGGUUGACGAUGACAAUACAUGAGUGAUAUAUCGAGAAAAUGAGAAAGAAAUAUCCUCAAUGGGAGGAUGGACGUGGAUAGAAAGGAUGAGACUCAUCAAAAGUCACAUCUCGAGAAAUGUGCAUCCAACGACAGAUCCCAAAACUGGUAGCCCUUGUGCUCAUCACUGUAAUCUAAGAAGACACAUUCAACAGACUGAACAGUCAGUUUGGUGUGUUCAUGGGGGCAAGAAGAAAGUAGCAAACAAAAGACUCUCGAGAGAAUUGUCACCCUACAGAGCAGAGGAAGGCCGAUUGUUGAUGAGAUAGGUGGAAGUAGAAACAACCUCAACCCAAAAGUGAGCCGGAAGAGAGGCGACGAUUGUCAACGCAUGAGCCGCCUGAAGAAGGUGAUGAUGCUUGUGCUCAUCAAACACCAUCAUUCUGAGCAUGAGCACAAGGACAAGAGAAUUGAGCAAGUGUGCCCUGCUCAACAAGGAAUAUGCGUAGCAAAUGAGAAAUAUACUCACGAGCAGAGUCGACAUGGAAGACACAGAUAGGAGUUGAAAACUCGGUAUGAACCAUGUCGGCAAACUUUUUACCGAUAGAUAAGACCUCACUACAAGAAGACAUAAAAUAUAUCCAUGUGUGCUGACAGAAAUCAUCUAUAAAGAUAAUAUAUUAGCGAUAGCCUCCUUUUGAGGCAAAGACCAGAGCGAACAAGAUCCAAAGGAUGUUGAGACACCAUCUCGCUACGAGGAUAAAGUAACCGAACCUGUUUACCAAACUGACAAACCUGACAGUCUAAAGACACCGCCAGAGAUAGAUCCAAGAAGGCCACGUUGAAACUAAGGAUGAAAGACAAGAGCCACACAAGUAACGAGGACGAUGAUGCCACAAAGAGUCAAUUGUCGAGGUAACAAAGGCGAAGUGACUUGCGUUGGUUGUGGUAGAGGGAAGGUGAAGCCAGUCAAGCUCUCGGAGGCCUUGGGAGUUGGGAAUCACAAGGGCCAACACCAAGUAGAGCACCUGUGUGACGAUCCUAAAACAGUUGUCAAAGUCAAGAAUGACUCUACAACAAGAGUCAACAAUCUAACCACCUGAAAUGUGGUAGAUGGCAAGUCAAGGAGCAUGAGAAGAAGGAACAUGACAAGACAAAGUGCUAAGAGUGCCUCGACAAUUGACCAGGAGGUAAGUACCAUCAGCAGUAAGAACAUGAACAUGAUAAUCUAGAGGUUUGAAUGGAGGACAAACUUGAAGAAUCAUGAGUCAUAUGAAAAGAUGCUUCAGUACCAAGAAUCCAUGGAAAUGUACCUGAUUGUAAAAGGUAGUCUCUGUACAAAAAGAAUCAUUAGCAAAACCCUGCAAAAUUGUUAAUGGUCAAAAGAAGCACCUAGUAGACAUUUAAGUCUUGUAAUCUCCAACAUAGUCAGGACCUCAACUGAAGAGGGCGAUGAAGAAGCACCAGGCGAUGAAAAGCUAAAAGCAGUAUGUGUCGAAGUCAUGCAAUCUCCUGUGCGGUGAAGGACACGGCUGAAGUGGUCGAUGUAGAAUCACCUGAAGAGGAGUGGCCACCACCACCCAUGUAAGCCGCUAGAGGAGGCGGUGUUGCAUGACCAAUGCUAGUUGUAGAAGUCGGUGGAGGAGAUGAGGUCGUAGGAACACAAGCACCAAGCAUGAAGGGAAGGCACAUGUGUGCGACGUAGUCGGUGGAGUGAUGUGCACCAACACUACCGAUGAAAGCUUUGAGUGUAGUUUGUGUUGAGCGAUCGUCAUCGUCUGCCGAGGUCGCGAGAGGCGUUACUAUGGAGCCACGACCACAACCCAAAAAGGCACCGGGGGGAGCAAUGUCAUAGGUGGAGGGGCACCUAAGCAUCGACGGACGACACAUGUGCGAGAUGGGGUUAAUGUACGGAAUAUCAUUGAACAAAAAGAGAAACUAUGUCCAAUGAAGUCACAAUACCUAUUUUUUUUGUUUUUCUACUCUUUUGUCUACAGAACUAGCUACGUCUUACGAAAGAAGAGAGCAACAGAGCAUGGAAGAGCAGCGUAGAGGGCAUGCGCGGUAGGGGCAUGGUCCCUAGAGAAGCUAGUCGGCGGGACGGGCUGCCAGGUCUGAGGUCUGAUGGUGAUGUCCGGCAUUGAGGUACCGCGUGUAGCAAAAGUGGGAGACGAGACCGUCGCCUGCAGCAGCGGACGUCCGGAGAUUGUGGUUGGGGGCCAACCAGCUGGAGACAGCGAUGAGGCACGACAUUCUGGAGCAGUGGGAUGUCAGCCUCCCGAAGAUGGCAAUGAGGCGCCAACCUUCUGGAGAUGGCGGUGAGGUGUUGACCUUACAUGGCAACAAGGCACGACCUCCUAAAGAUACCGGAGAGGUAGCCUGCCAUUGUAAGCGCGACGCAGGUGGCCACAAGGGCGAGUGUGAUGGAGGCGGAGGUACCGAGCUCGGAAGUGCAUGAUGGGAGCAAUGGCAUGUGGGAAUUCACAGGGGCGGGAAGGGCCUGGACGACGAAGGAGAGACAACCUCGAUCUGGAGGCAGCGGAGGGACGGCGACAAUCGUCGAGAAAAAAACACCGGCGUGAGUUGGGGAGGUGGGGUUGCACGUGAGCAUACUAGCCUGAAAAGAAAUGAUUGGAAACUUAGAUCGAGAUCAAUUCAGAGAGGAGCACGAGUUAUGUGUAAGACCAAGAAAACCUAGGUUCUAAUACCAUUUUAGGAAUAUGCAACUUGUAUUCCCAUGUGGCCAUAGGCUAUACAUGUACAUGUGUGGUACAAUAUGCAGAAAACCCCUUGUAUAAAGGGGAAAAUACAAGGAUGCACGAAUAAUGUAUUACUCAUUCUGAACACUCGAGCGCUGUGUUCCUUCCAAAUGGUCUAGAAUGCGAGCAACACUGCCGACUCGAGUCCGCAGUGCGCCGACAGCGAAAUGGCCGCCUGACAACCAAUCCACCAGUUGGGAAGGGAAACGCUGCCCCCCUCGAGGCAACACAGAUGUUGAAGAGGCGAGUAAUAAUUUCUAGAUUACCGUUGAGAAAGACCAGCCGGUGAACAAGUGUUGAGCACUCUUGGGGGCGUUGAAAUAGAGGGGGCAUGCCACGUGGAUGUCCAUACCGUGGAGCUGACGACGAUCAGUACGUAGACUAUUAACGAUACACUAGAUAUGUGCCAAAUGUGCGGCUCCAACCGCAAUCCAAAGCCGAGCUUCAUCAUUGAGCCGUUGUCUCUAUAGAUUGUCGAUAGUUGAAGACCUGAGCAUUGCGUUCCUUCUAGAUGGUCCAGACCACAAGCAACACUACCGGCUUGAGAUACCGACUUGAAGCAGUGCAAAGGAUGUCCAAGUCAUGCCACUUGACGAUUACACUUCUACGUCAGAGUUUAACUGUUGGGGUUUGAAACACAACCAUGCAUGGGGGUCCUUGGCUAAUUAGGCACCAUGUUAUGGUAACUGAGGAGUAUAAUGGGAUCAAUCGCCCUUCACUCCAUACGUGUUUGGGCUCGGAUCAUGGGUCUACCGGACUUGCUGCGAACAGACUCGUGGCUAGAGCAAUGGCUUCCAAGAUAGAAGUGUUAGAUUUGGAGCUUGGGCUAAAUCGUGUUGAGUAUAAAGUUUGUUCGAGUGUGCGUUAAGAUCAAAUCGGAGAAUCCCACUUUGAGGUUCUUAGGGAAUGUUGAGCGAGGUAAACCGCCCCAAAUGUUCCAUGUGCUAUACGAGAAGGUGUGUUUUUGCACAAAUUGCGGUACGAUUGGCCAUGUUACAGAAUAAUGCGGGUUCAUGAUCCAAAGAAGUCCAUUGCUCAACCUCGUGGUAGCACCAUCUGUGGAAGAGGUGGCUGGCUAGUAGAGGCCAAGGUAGUCGUAGAGGGAAUGACCCAACCUGAUGUGUAAGGAGAACGAUGAUUUUGACCCUGUGAACGGAAAUAUGGGUGUAUGCAAUGUCAAUGCGAACAAUGUUAAUUUAAGGGAUUUUGGUACGAAGCCACCUCACAAAAGGUUAUUGAUUGUAGGUAACCCCGCGUCGGUCAAAGAACCUCCCUUGGUGUCGAGCAAAAUUGGGAUGAGCAACUCAGCUCAGGGUUUCUCUUUGCAAGUUCAAGUGAAGAGAAGGCAGAGGAUGGUGUGGGCGUGCCGCUCCUGACAGUGUUUUCAUCAUUUCUCCAUACCUCUCGCGCACUCGCUGUUGCCCGCUGAUCUGGCUUGGUGUUCUUCUCCUGUUUGCGGGUUGCGUGCCACGUACUUGAGUCCGCAUUCCACGUUCCCUUGCUAGGCGUCCCUGGCCUUGGCGACAGGUAGCGUCGUGCUCCCGGGCGUCUGCGUCCUCGCGUAAGACGGAGACGGUGCCGACUGCCUAUGCUCUUGCUCCACCAGUGGUGCUGCUUGAGCUUGUGGCUAUGGUGACAACCUGCAUGGGAGCACAUGAUGUAGGAACAAGGCAGCGCACAGAGCAACUCGUAGCCAGGCAAAGGAUGCCCAGCCGGACUGGCAGGCAAUGGAUAGUACACGGGAGGUGUGGGGGAAGGUGAGAAAAUGCUAUUGGGAACGGACUGCUACCGCUGUCAGGCCUUGUACCCAGAGCCGAGGGGUGAGGGGACGACGAUAGGGGAAGCGAGGAAGAUAGGAAGAGGGCACCGGGAGGAGUAAUUCAUCAUUCGCCACCCUAUGCCUGUGCGUCACCCAUGAUGGUGGACGGUUGUGGGAAGAUCCAGUGUCUACACGUGGAUUUGCUACACUGGAUGGCAUUGAGAAAGGCAUUUUUGACAUCUAGCUAAGAAACGUACCAGUGGCGUAUAGAAGGGUGUCAAAUUACCACUUGGCGAUUACACUUUUACGACAGAGUUUAAUUGUUUUGGGGAUUGAAACACAACCGUGCAUGGGGUCCUUGGCUCUUUAGGCACCAUGCUGUGGUAACUGAGGAGUAUAAUGGGAUCUGUCGCCUUUAACUCCAUACGUUUUUGGGCUCGGAUCAUGGGUCUACCGGACUUGCUGUGCAACAGACCGGUGGCUAAAGCAAUGACGUCCAAGAUAGAAGUUUUAGAUGUGGAGCUUGGGCUAAAUGGCGUUGAGAAUGAAAGUUUGUUUGAGUGCGCAUCAAGACCAAACUGGAGGGUUCUUUGAAAAUGUUGAGCAAGGUAAACCACCCCAAAAUGUUCCAUGUGCUAUACGAGAAGACGUCGCGUUUUUGCGGAAAUUACCAUACAAUUGGCCAUGUUAUAGAACAGUGUGGGGAUGGAGUUCAUGAUCCCAAUGUAGUUUCAGUUUGGCGAUUUUAUGGUGGUUCCAACCUAGAUGUGGUAGCCUAGAAAUGAGUUUGUCGCUCAACCUGAUGGUAGCACCACCUCUGGAAUAAGGAGAAAGAUGACUUUGGGCCUGCGAAUGGAAAUACGGGUGCAUGCAAUGUCGAUGCAAACAAUGUUGAUCUCAAUUCUUGAAUUCAUGGGGGAAUAGGGGGCAUGCGAUGCCUUCUCAUUGGUGGCCAUAGGAUCGUGUUAUUGGAGGUCUAGGAUCACAACGGUGGCACCAUGUGUAAUUUCGUCCUGCUGAAGGGGCAUUCCCGUCUUUUGCCAGCCAGCCUAUAUAGCCCCACAUUCACAGCCGCGUUCAUCUUUUCUCCACACGGUGAAACACUAUCCGCCAAAUCCCGCGCUCCUGCCCCCUCCUCUUCCUGUUCGGCCGCCAUCGAUCCUCUCUUGUGCUGCCAGCAUCAGGUAUCACCUCUUCGCCGCCGGCGAGGUCCAGCUCCUCUGCAUCCGUGCUCGACAACACCUCCUCGACGCGCUGCUGCCUCCAGACAGUCCUUGUCCGUGACGCCGGUGUCCUUCUCCUCCACAAACCCUUGCUGCUGCUGUCCUACUUAUUGUUGGUGGCCUGUCUUCCUCCUCCCCACCGGCAGUUGCGGCGAAGGCCCCCCAAUGGCAAAGCGGUAUGAAGAGUUCAUCUUGUAUUUCGUAUCCUUUUCUUUUGAUGAUGCAUAUUGUUGUUGAUGGUAAGGAAGGCGGCAUUUUGAACGUAAUUGCAGGAUGAUUAGCCACUAGACUCACACGGCCAUGUUUAUACGGACGAGUUCUGGCAGCAAGUCUUUGUUUUUGUGUGGAUUAAUUCAUGUAUAAUAAUGCCGAGGUGUCAGGUUACUGAACUGUGAUUGAUAGCUUCUUCAAUUGUGAUGACUUGCAGCAAACCCAGAGGCUGGGAUGCACACACCCGAAGGUCACCCUCAUCACCUCCUUCCCUUGCCCUGCUCCCCAAUUCGACGGCAAGGUCGCAGAGUAGCAGCACCCACGACCACCCUCCUCGGUCCUCCGCAUAUCUCAUACAUGAUUUAUGCUUUACGUGGUAUUGUAUGAUGUGCUAUGGAAGUAUAGGAAUUUGUUUGCAGCCCCCUUCAGAUCUAGGUAAAAAAAUACAAGUUUUACUUGCAAUUGUUAUUGUUAGUGCUCAAGAGAUUAUAUGAUCUAUUGACCCAUAUAUAUAUUGCUUUUUAACUGAUUACUAUUUAAUGAGCUUUGCAUCAGCCUUAGAAGUAUAGCCCAGAUUUAAAAAUGUGCAGCUUAUGAGUUGAAGGAGAUAAGCCGCAAAUAACAAGGCAUAGAUUCAGUUGCUCAGAUAUUCCCCGUUGAUGCAAAUCCAACCUUAUUAGAAACAUUUGCAGUCAAAAAGUUUAGGGAAAUACACAAUGAGAAGUUUUAGCCUUCCUUUACUAGAAACUAAUAUGAAAACCUAAUUUGGAUGUUCUUUUCCUCUGCUGCAGUACACAUGGUGUAGCCUAGCAAUUAUAGGGUAUUCAUUCCCACUGAAACUUUCUUUUUUCCUUUUCUUUCAGAUAUUGAAUGAGUAUCUGGUAUGAGGAAAUGGAGGUGACGUUGAUCCCUAGAGGCCUAAUGUAUUUUUCAUUUCCUGGUGAGAUUACUUCUGAAUCCAUGGGCCUCUUCUCUUAGAGUUCUAGGUGUAUGCUUUAAUAUAUUGCUAAAACAAAAAGCGCACAGUUUCAGUCAAAUGAAAUUCCCUAUUUGUAUUUUGAUAUACUUAUGUGCUCUUUUAAACUCUACACCGAAAAGAAAGCAGUGUGGUAUGUUUUGAGAUUAAAAAAUUGUUGAGGAAAGGAUAAAAUUGUGCUAUGAGGAGAUUAUUACUGAGGCAGUGAUCCAAGCAGAAAUAAGACAACAAUAGAGUUUUAUCAUAUUUUCAGUUUCAGUUCAUAUAUGAAGAAGGCCAUCCACUUUAUUAUUUUGACACUUCCAUGCUUCAGAGUAUAGAUUUUGCAUGUUAAAGAGAUCGAGGAGAUUAUUUAUACAAGACUGCAGAAUAUUUAGGUAGCUUUUCUAUACCAAUCGCCAUGUAUGUGCACUCCUCUUGGCUGUUCUUAUCUUUCUUUUUUGUUGUCUUAACAUUAUUGGCUCAAGUUGUUUGCCUGUUGGAUGGUGGAAUUCCACAAUUCAUGUCACAGUUAAAACACCUGGAGACGGAUUUGUAACUGAAUGUUAGACUCAAGAGUAGAUAAACCAGUUAUCUGACCGCUGCAGUGGAUCAAUUAUCAUGCAUAUUUUAUGAGCUUUUGAGAAGUGUGGCAGAUAUCAUUAGUAUGAUCCAAAGCUAAAUAAGUUGUUCUCUUUGUCUAGCUUCGUACUUUGGAGAUGUACCCGCUUAAGGCCAAGGACCUCUUCAUGACAUAAGUAGACCAUGUCGAUGCACUAUGAGUAAAACAAUGAAUCGUCAGAGUUAUGAGAUGUAAUUCUGUGAAGCCCCUUUUUUAUGUGAGAAAUGCAACGUCUGAUUUUGGAAGCUUAAACCUCAUAUGGAAGGGUGAUUGUGAUUUCCAAAUGUUCUGAUUUUUGUCAUGGGAAAUGACAUGGGCUGAAUUUGGCAGCUGUUUUAAGGAAGGAGGGCAAUAGUGUUUCCAUAGUCUUUAUGAUUUAGCCUUAGCUUUACACCUUUGUAAUUUAACUGUCGAAGGUAAAACUAUGAUGGAAAUUAUUUUGAGUGUACUGGGAUUUAUGUUUCUCUCCUUGCCAAAAAACUGCAUAAGUGACAUGACGUAUAUGGUCUGGACAAAUGGUUCUGAUACUCCUAGGGAGGCUAUAGCCUUAUAUUUCUGUAUUGUGUUUUUGUUCAAUAGAAAAUAUGGUUUCAUGUGUACGUCAUUUGUUAAAUAUUGGAUACUCUUCCAUUUUAGGGUCUUGUUUAAGUCUUUAAGUUUUCAUCGAUCGGAAAUGGUAGAUUUGGCUGGCAGUGGUACCAUGGGAGCUUCCAAC
rnacentral:lncRNA from 1 species